UUCCAAGACGCACAGAUCCGUUCUUAAGCCUCCGUGACAAACGAGUUACAGAACCCAUCUGUCUCUUGUCUGGGGUCGGCAAAGCACUAAAAAGAAAUUCAUGUUCUUUCUUGGGCUAGAAUGCAGAGCUCGGAGUACCAGUGGGAUGACCUGGCUGAAAAGAAUUUAGCCAAAUCCGAUGGUCAGAGCGGUGUGAGGCUGAGGCUGGAGAAACCAAAGGACUAUUGAUGAUUCAAGGAAAGAUGUCAAAGACCUGACUACAAGCAGUGGAAUACCAUAAGAAGAGUCUCACUCUGACCCAGGCUGACCUGGAAGUCACUAUGUAGUCUCAGGCGGGUA